UCGCGCUGCGCUUGUACGUAGCCGUAUUGACUUCUUACGGUAGAUCUCAAAGAAAACGGUAUAGUAAAGCCGCGAUGCGUUAUAUCAGCCUAAAAAAUGGUUCCCCGUUCUUGGAAGGGGUUGAUAAGUCACGAGGAACUAUUUUUGAAAGCUAGACCGCAGUUAGAAGUCAUGUAAUUACGCCUGAAAGUUGACCAAUUUUCAGGGUUUCAGUGGUGCGUUUCGCUAUUGUUUUCGGGACGAGUUACGCACUGCAUGGGGUUUUCCGAUAUACCGGGUUAUAGGAUAAGGAUCAACUGCUUCCGGGUCAACAAUACUUAUAGUGUAGUGUUGUUGCACUAUCACCUGGCAGUAACUUUAACACAUUUAAUGGAUUACUGUACUCUUGAGGUUGUUUUUACAUACCAUACUACAAUGUAGAGGCUUUUCGUUAUGGGGGAGGUUUAUACGGAAUACGGAUAGACCGGUGCCAUACUACAGGUUUGUAAAAAAAGUGACAGCCUGUGCCAAUGUCGAAGCUUUCCCGGCUAUCAAGGCAAGUUUAUACGGAUGGAACAGAGACUUUCUACAAUAAAGAUUAGCACAGUUCUUGUCCUGUCGAGAUUUUACGUUACUAAGGGAGUUGUAUUCAGAUACAAAUGUGCCAUACUACAGGUGUGUCCAAAAAAUUGACACAGUUGUGUCAAUGCCCAAGAUUUGCGUUCUUAAGAGAGGUUUGUAUGGAUCAAACAGAGACUUUUUACAUGUGUAUCAUAUAGAAUGACACUGUUCUUGUCCUGUUAAGAUUUUACGUUAUAAAGGGAGCUUUUAUUCGGAUAGAACAGUGCCAUACUACAGGUGUGUCAAAAAAUUGACACAGUUGUGCCAUUGUCAGAGAUUUCCGUUGUUAUGUGAGGUUUAUUCCCAUGGAACAGAAAUUUUCUACAUGUGUAUCGUAUGGAAUGACACUGUUCUUGUCCUGUCGGGAUUUUACGUUAUUGAGGGCGCUUUAUUCGGAUAUAAUGCCAUACUACAGGUGUGUCAAAACAAAGUGACACAGUUGCGCCAAUGCUGAAGAUUUGCGUUCUUAAAGGAGGUUGUUACGGAUGAAACAGAAACUUUCUUCAUGUGUAUGAUAUAGAAUGACACUGUUCUUGUCCUGUUGAGAUUUUACGUGAUCAAGGGAGGUUUAUGCGGAUAGAACGGUGCCAAACUACAGGUGUGUCAAAAAAUUGACACAGUUGUGCCAAUGCCAGAGUAUUCCGUUUUUAUUGGAGGUUUAUACGGAUGAAACAGAAACUUCCUUCAUGUGUAUCAUGUAGAAUGACACUGUUCUUGUCCUUUUGAGAUUUUAUUUUGUUACGGAGGUUUAUUCGGAAAGAACAGUGUCAUACUACAGGUGUAUCAAUCGCUAUUAGGGAAUGUUUAACGGAUA